rnacentral:tRNA from 1 species
GCCAGCAUGGCUCAGUGGUUGAGCGUUGACCUAUAAAUCAGGAGAUCAAGGUUCAAUUCCUGGUCAGGGCA